UUGUCUACUAUCCAGAAACAUAUUCUUAAAUACCGAGACGAUAUCCUCACAACUUUUGUAUGAAAAAUUGCUCUUUACUAUAUGUAGGACUCUUAUCAUUUCAGCUCCUCUAUCCGUACAUUAAAAGUGUUUUUCAACGGCUGUUUGGUAGCAAUAACUUCGUUUUCGAAUAUUCCGAUAGCUGGUUUCUUAUUUCAAUACUGUUAAAGCAAAUUGCACUAUGAAGGGAACCAGAUGCGGUUGCAUAUUUUUACAAAAAAUUUCGAAGAAACGAAUUUUAAAUUCUCAUUUUACACUUACCACAACUGGGGCCUUGUUUCUAGCAUUCGAAAAAGAAACAGUUUCGACAAAAACUACGGGGAUCAUUUAAUUUUAGAUGUUUGAAGACAUGCAAUAAAGAUUACAAUACAAAUAAUCAUUUUCCAUGACUAUUCAAGGACUUGUCACUAAAAUAUAGCUUUCCAUGACUUUUAAAGGCCUUUCCCCCCCUAAAUAAAAAUCCAUGACUUUUCCAGGAUUCCAUGCCCCGUACGAACCCUGUGGAGUUGAUGAUAGUUUUGUGUUGGCACACCUAAGUGUAUCAUUUCUUUGUGGUCUAACUUUACUUGGUGUAAUAAUGCCCUUUAAUGUCAGGAGUUGAACAGUCAUCUUGCUACCGUUGGCGUCAAAUUUGUUAUAAUUAUACCGUAAAUCGUCAAAAUAGCAUUAUCGUAAUUUGUCAGAGGUCUUAAGUAAUGAACAUUAAUUUUUGAAAAAAAAACUAGUCAUCUAAAUAAUUUGAUGUUUUU
rnacentral:lncRNA from 1 species